UACGGAGGGAGCUAGCGUUGUUCGGAAUUACUGGGCGUAAAGCGCGCGUAGGCGGCUUUGUAAGUUAGAGGUGAAAGCCCGGGGCUCAACCCCGGAAUUGUCUUUAAGACUGCAUCGCUUGAAUCCGGGAGAGGUGAGUGGAAUUCCGAGUGUAGAGGUGAAAUUCGUAGAUAUUCGGAAGAACACCAGUGGCGAAGGCGGCUCACUGGCCCGGUACUGACGCUGAGGCACGAAAGCGUGGGGAGCAAACAGG
rnacentral:rRNA from 1 species